UAGGGAAUCUUCAGCAAUGGACGGAAGUCUGACCGAGCAACGCCGCGUGAGUGAAGAAGGUUUUCGGAUCGUAAAGCUCUGUUGUUAGAGAAGAACGUUGGUAGGAGUGGAAAAUCUACCAAGUGACGGUAACUAACCAGAAAGGGACGGCUAACUACGUGCCAGCAGCCGCGGUAAUACGUAGGUCCCGAGCGUUGUCCGGAUUUAUUGGGCGUAAAGCGAGCGCAGGCGGUUCUUUAAGUCUGAAGUUAAAGGCAGUGGCUUAACCAUUGUACGCUUUGGAAACUGGAGGACUUGAGUGCAGAAGGGGAGAGUGGAAUUCCAUGUGUAGCGGUGAAAUGCGUAGAUAUAUGGAGGAACACCGGUGGCGAAAGCGGCUCUCUGGUCUGUAACUGACGCUGAGGCUCGAAAGCGUGGGGAGCAAACAGG
rnacentral:rRNA from 1 species